rnacentral:lncRNA from 1 species
GGGCGCAGCUUUAUACAACCGCAGAGUUCUAACCCUGAACAGUUGGGGCAAGUAUGGACACAACAUUCAAGCUUGAUACAGCCCUGAAUUUGGAUUGUGAUUAAAUAGUUGACACAACAUAGGUUUCUGACACAGAAUCAAUGUGGUCUAAGAACUUAAACGUAAAAACUUUAAAAUUUUAAAUUGGACAUUUACCUAUUAUGGUCCAAUAUCCAAAAUCUAAAUACAUGGUUAGAUUCAGCAUAUCAAAGAACCCCAAGAAUUCAGUUUUUGAUGAAAUCAAAUAAAGUUCAAUUUUGGACCCUUUAGACCUCAAUGUGGACCAAUUUGAUAACCGGGCCUAAAUAUCAAAAAUC